rnacentral:rRNA from 1 species
UACGGAGGAUCCAAGCGUUAUCCGGAUUUAUUGGGUUUAAAGGGUGCGUAGGCGGUUUUAUAAGUUAGAGGUGAAAUGUUCGGGCUUAACCCGGAAACUGCCUCUGAUACUGUAGGACUAGAGAGUAGUUGCGGUAGGCGGAAUGUAUGGUGUAGCGGUGAAAUGCUUAGAUAUCAUACAGAACACCGAUUGCGAAGGCAGCUUACCAAACUAUAUCUGACGUUGAGGCACGAAAGCGUGGGGAGCAA